UUCAAACCGCAAGGUUAAUACCUUAUGGUUGGGCAAGACUCUGUUGCGCUUCUUAUUCUAUUUCUCACUAUUGACUCUUUUAAAGAUGAAAAGAAAAUCGAGUCAAGUAUCUGAUCAAUUAAGGUCAGCGCUUGAGAGAUAAUCUUCAAAAUUAUGGCGAUUAA
rnacentral:misc_RNA from 1 species